UUUCCAGAGAUGGAUUGGUGCCUUCGGGAACCGUGAGACAGGUGCUGCAUGGCUGUCGUCAGCUCGUGUUGUGAAAUGUUGGGUUAAGUCCCGCAACGAGCGCAACCCUUAUCCUUUGUUGCCAGCGGUCCGGCCGGGAACUCAAAGGAGACUGCCAGUGAUAAACUGGAGGAAGGUGGGGAUGACGUCAAGUCAUCAUGGCCCUUACGACCAGGGCUACACACGUGCUACAAUGGCGCAUACAAAGAGAAGCGACCUCGCGAGAGCAAGCGGACCUCAUAAAGUGCGUCGUAGUCCGGAUUGGAGUCUGCAACUCGACUCCAUGAAGUCGGAAUCGCUAGUAAUCGUGGAUCAGAAUGCCACGGUGAAUACGUUCCCGGGCCUUGUACACACCGCCCGUCACACCAUGGGAGUGGGUUGCAAAAGAAGUAGGUAGCUUAACCUUCGGGAGGGCGCUUACCACUUUGUGAUUCAUGACUGGGGUGAAGUCGUAACAAGGUAACCGUAGGGGAACCUGCGGUUGGAUCACCUCCUUACCUUAAAGAAGC
rnacentral:rRNA from 1 species